rnacentral:lncRNA from 1 species
UAUCUCACGGUUGGUGAUAUCUCUAAUAUUAAAUUUGGGAAGGUAGCUAUUAUUUGUUUUUAUCACGUCUUUGUGUUUUCUUUUGUUUUGCUCUAGGAUAACAAAAUCUAAGUCUAGGGAUUUUUGAUGUGGUCAUAUUUUCAUAUAUUAUUAUCAUAUAUUUCCCUUGGAUUUUGUAUAUAUGAAAGGGUUAAAUGCACUAAAUUCUAUUGUUUUGUUUUAUAGGCAUUCAAUACCGGAGUUUCAUAAAAAAAAUAAGUGGAAAACGAGCUUUUUGAUUGUCUAGAGUAAUUUCAAUGGAGUACGGGCUAAUUAACUGCACCAAGAUAUAUGCAUUAAAAUAAGAAGAUGAAAAUACAAUAGUUUUGGAAAUCAAAUGGACAUGAAAUGCUAUUCAAUGACUUUAGAGAACUUAAUUUCUAGCUUUUAUUAUUUCCGUUGAUUUUUCCUUUCUUAAAUAAGGACGUAAAGUCCAUUAAGAAUAUGAUUUGGGUUUUUCUAUUAGCACCCCACGUAUUGUUGAAUGCACCCCACAUAAAAUAUUACUUAUAUACUCUAAUACAAAAAGACUAUUUAAACCCCAUAAGAUUAUGACUACACCUCCAAAUCAUUUUUAGCGUAUAUUAUUUUCUCCAAGCUCUUGAAGCCACUCUCACCCGCUAUUGAACUCAACGACACAAUUCAAUGCAAUGUCAUUUAUCACAUAUCAGUUUAUGUUUAUAGUAUUUCAUUUGAUUGGCUAAAAUCUCUACAGAGAAAAUUGAACAGGUUUGUUUUUGAUAUGGUGGAGUUUGCUGUUGCCUCAUGAAGCAACUUAGGGCAACUUGUUAUAAUCCUCACAUUAUUGCUCCUUACUCGAGCCUAUAGAAGUAAUAGUCUUCAAUGUGAUGGCUUGAUGAUGAUGGACACUUCCGAAAUUCUCUUGAACAAUCUUUUGAAUUCACUUGCUAAGAUUGCGAAGGCUCUAUUCUAUUUUUUGUAAAACUUGGUUUGCAUUCGAUGCUUUUGAUCCAAUUUCUUACAGGAUCCACUCCCUUAGGCGAUGUGAGAUGUUACAAUUAUCAUCCCUAACAGUUACACAUAAAAAGUCACUUUAUU